rnacentral:sRNA from 1 species
AGCUUUCUGCAAUCAUAUUUCUUUGACGAAUAUGCAUUAUAGUUGCAGGAUAGAAUGUCACAUUCAUUGGCAGAAAGUUGGGUGGACGGAUUGAACGGGAGAUGGACACCAUUAUUGUUUCUUGUCUUGGGCGUUUUCUCUUUGAUAGGACAUUUGUACGUGGGCCCGAUAGCGUGUACUUUCCCUUCAGGGUUUCAGAAUCUGACGUCAAGUAUGGCACGUACAGAUGUUUUACUGCAACCAAUCUCGCCGUAUUACCAUUUGAAUCCAUGUUCAAAGUUCCACUGGUCAGCAGUACAAUUAAAGAUCAAGACUACGGUGUGCGGACCCUAUAUCAACGUCCAAUUCUGAUACAAGCCAUCGGUUUCCAUAUAUUCUAUGGAAACGGAGAGAAAUUAGGUCUUUUCCGUAUCCGGAACACUUAUGACAGAGCAAUCGGGAAAGUCUUGCUAUAUACCUAGAGCAAUGGAUUAGAAAGAGGAAAGUAAACAUUUUAUCAAUCGGGGCCUUUACAAUGUUUCAUUUGUUCGUUAAGGUGCUUUAUUUUAUAAAUAUCUCAACACAUUUAGCGCUGUUAGAUCCUUUUCUAAAAGAAAAGUUUUGGUUCUCAGAUGCUCGAAAAUAUACGUGAAAAUGAUGCACGCUUCUUUCAAACCUCUCCGGCUUUUCCUAGAGAAAUAAUGUGCGACUAUGAGAUACGUUAUCUGUCCAAUGUCCAAAGAUACACAGUACAGUGUGUCCUUCCAUUUAAUCCGUGUCUGGAACAGAUCAUGGCUGUCGUCUGGUGGUGGUUGAUCUUCCUUGUGGCUGCAACUGUAGCCGAUGGUCUCAUAUAUUCAUUUGGAGCUGUCCUGUCGUGUUUUAGGGUGUGGUUUGUAAAGUCAAAUUUGAUGCGUGUUGAACUUGGAAAUUUGAACCAAACAUUGACAGAAGAACAUCAGCAGAUUCUCCAACAACAAGUUAGGAGAAGACGUCAUUGUAUUUCUAAAGCACAUUCAAGAUCAGGAAAACGGAUGUGUGGUCAUGGAAACUGUUACAGAAUUAUGGAUGGUAUCCCAUGGCGGCAGUGUGCAAUCGUUCCCAGUAAAUGUUUACUCCCCUCCACAGCCUGGAGGGACAAUCGAAGUGUCCAAUAGAUCAGCUCUACCGUAUGGUCAACUUGGUGACAAUCAGGGUGUACCUCGGAAGAACGGAGGUCAAGGUCGGCAUCAUACAUCAAAUCUGUAUCUAUCCUAUUCAAGCAGCACAUGAGAAAGUUAAAAUCAUUAGUACAAAUGA